AAAUGAAUAGACGGGGACCCGCACAAGCGGUGGAACAUGUGGUUUAAUUCGAAGCAACGCGAAGAACCUUACCAGGGCUUGACAUCUAACAGACCUCUGCGAAAGUAGAGGGUGCUCUUCGGAGAAUGUUAAGACAGGUGGUGCACGGUUGUCGUCAGCUCGUGUCGUGAGAUGUUGGGUUAAGUCCCGCAACGAGCGCAACCCUCGUUGUUAGUUGCAUAUAGCGGUAUACUGCUAUAGUGCUCUCUAGCAAGACUGCCGGUGAUAAACCGGAGGAAGGUGGGGACGACGUCAAAUCAUCAUGCCCCUUAUGCUCUGGGCUACACACGUGUUACAAUGGCCGGUACAACGAGUCGCCAACUCGCAAGAGUGAGCAAAUCUCUAAAAACCGGUCUCAGUUCGGAUUGCACUCUGCAACUCGAGUGCAUGAAGUCGGAAUCGCUAGUAAACGCAGAUCAGCACGCUGCGUUGAAUACGUUCCCGGGUCUUGUACACACCGCCCGU
rnacentral:rRNA from 1 species